GACGUGGGGGGCCAGCGUUGCUCGGAAUUACUGGGUGUAAAGGGUCAGUAGGCGGUGUGGCAAGUCGGGAGUGAAAUCUCUGGGCUUAACUCAGAGACUGCUUCCGAAACUGCUGUGCUUGAGUAUGGGAGAGGCGCGUGGAAUUGCAGGUGUAGCGGUGAAAUGCGUAGAUAUCUGCAGGAACACCCGUGGCGAAAGCGGCGCGCUGGACCAUAACUGACGCUGAAUGACGAAAGCUAGGGGAGCAAACAGG
rnacentral:ncRNA from 2 species